rnacentral:rRNA from 1 species
UACGUAGGGGGCGAGCGUUGUCCGGAUUUAUUGGGCGUAAAGAGCUCGUAGGCGGUUCGAUAAGUCGGACGUGAAAUCUCCACGCUCAACGUGGAGGGGCCGUUCGAUACUGUCGUGACUCGAGUCCGGUAGGGGAGUGUGGAAUUCCCGGUGUAGCGGUGAAAUGCGCAGAGAUCGGGAGGAACACCCGUAGCGAAGGCGGCACUCUGGGCCGGUACUGACGCUAAGGCUCGAAAGCGUGGGGAGCGAACAGG